rnacentral:rRNA from 1 species
UACGUAGGGGGCAAGCGUUGUCCGGAUUUAUUGGGCGUAAAGAGCGUGUAGGCGGCCAUACAGGUCAGCUGUGAAACUCGAGGCUCAACCUCGAGACGUCGGUUGAAACCGUAUGGCUAGAGUCCGGAAGAGGAGAGUGGAAUUCCCGGUGUAGCGGUGAAAUGCGCAGAUAUCAGGAGGAACACCGAUGGCGAAGGCAGGUCACUGGGCCGCAACUGACGCUGAGGAGCGAAAGCAUGGGGAGCGAACAGG